GUGAGGAAUUUUCCGCAAUGGGCGAAAGCCUGACGGAGCAAUGCCGCGUGGAGGAUGAAAGCCUAUGGGUUGUAAACUCCUUUUCUCAGAGAAGAAAUUUUGACGGUAUCUGAGGAAUAAGCAUCGGCUAACUCCGUGCCAGCAGCCGCGGUAAUACGGGGGAUGCAAGUGUUAUCCGGAAUAAUUGGGCGUAAAGCGUCUGUAGGUGGUUGACCAAGUCUGUUGUUAAAAAUCAGGGCUUAACCCUGAUCCGGCAACAGAAACUAGUAAACUUGAGUACGGUAGGGGCAGAGGGAAUUCUCGGUGUAGUGGUGAAAUACGUAGAUAUCGAGAAGAACACCAAUAGCGAAAGCACUCUGCUGGGCCGAAACUGACAUUGAGAGACGAAAGCUAGGGGAGCAAAAGGG
rnacentral:rRNA from 1 species